rnacentral:lncRNA from 1 species
GUGUUCCUCAUGGGUCGAUUCAUUCUGGAAACAACUGUCUGGUGUGUGAGGUGUCCGCCAACAAGGGCACAUGGAAAACUAGAAAAGAUAGGAGAUGCCUGUUAUCCCAUGAACCACGCAUGGAUUUUACCAAUCCGGAUUAAUUGCGAUCGCUUACCAAACAGUUACAAUCAAGUGAUGAGGGGAACGAUGAUACGAGGGAUUUAUGAACACAUAGACACUGCUGUGUUGCUUUCUGUCCCUGCACUUUCUGUCGAAUGAUUUCGUAAUGUACAUACAUACGAUAUAUAAAACAUAUUUAAAAGAUACACUGGACAUUGUUAGUUUAGCAAAGGUUUCUUAUGGUAAUACAAAUAGAUUUUAUUUACAAAUCUCUGAAAUGUGACUAAUAUAGAUAAUUUGAUAAAUAAAGGCAUUAGAAAACCAAUUCAAUAAUCAUCAAAAAUUUCAACUAAAACAGUCCUCUAUACGGUUAAACAUCAAUAUUUGAUCGUGAUUUGUAAACACAUGUUUAUGAAAAUGACUAUUUUUUAGAUAUAGUUUGUCGCUUGUACUUUUUUUCACACUUAUGUCCACCAAGGAAGUCUUAUUUUCUUAAAUGUAAUGUAAAUGAUCGAUGUUGUACAUUUGCUGUCUUUUUGUAUUUCUGACAAUGUAGUGUCAUGUAUACUUUAAUUGAAUCAUGACUGUAGAAGUCACAGUUCUGCAUUUUCUAAACUAAUAUUAUGCGUAACAUUCUUCUAAAAUCCUAGCCACAAUGACAGAAAAUAGUACACACGAGCUUGUAAUGAGAACUUCAGUUGUGAAUGUGCAGUUGCCAAGUUGACUGUUUUAAUGAAAUGUCGUCAUUGUGCAUGGAAACCGAGUAGAAUCUUUCAAAUUCCUGGCGGAAUGAUAUAUAUUCAGUGUAUAUCUUAAUGACCUUCUUAUUUCUGCUUUCUCAUAUAUACAUGCUUAAACAAUAUAUUCAGUGUAUAUCAUAAAAGCUUUUUUACUCUUUUUUCAUAUUCAUGGUAGAAAGAUGUAUGCUCACACAAUUGGCUAUUGUCUUUCUUACCCGUAAUCAAAUUUACUGCAAACGUCACAGGUGAACCCAUCCAAAACCACCUUCGAAAUGUCUCGCGGCUGUAACUCAAAUCGAAUGUAUUCCUACGCAACAGUAAUCAAACGACCUUAAAUAAAAAAAAGAUACCUCGCUAUAACAAUUCCAAUUGAAUACCUUUUAUCAUUAACACUUAUACAAAAACAACACUCAAAGCGUAAGAACUGUGUUGUUGUUUUUAAUUAAUACAUUAACUUCAACAUAUGCAAGUUAACAAAUUAAUAAGUCAACAUCGGUGAAAAUGUCAGUUGAAGGGGGUCACACGUGUUGUUGUAACGUCACAGCAGCUCAGUAACCAAUUGUAAAUGUUUCGAAUGUGAACCUAUUGAUUACAACCAAGUGAUGCCAGACAAGUAUACCGCCACUGGAUGAUUAUUUAUCAAGUUGCAGUCAUUUGUUCGGAAUCAGAUUCAAGAAUUAUGCGACGUUACAUUCCAUAUCUGCAAGUGGGUGGUUGACUGAAAACAAUGAACGAAUAUAAAGUGUAGUACCGGCGACGAAUGAAAAGCCGAGUUACAUAUAUGGAAAAUACUGUAAUUACAUAACAUUUAAUACCCUAUCUCCAGCUUUCCUUAUGGGUAAGAAAUCA